UUAAUAAUAAUUUAUCAGAUAUUUGUACAUUACUUCUAUUGAAGUUAAUUUCCUUCUCCCCGGAAUCCUCUUGUGAUAUAUAAUGUACAGGUGUUGCUCCAAAGGUAAGAUGAUUUAUUUCACUUUUAUUACAUCCAACAUAAGCAGUGCCUACAUAUCUCAUCGCCAGGCUUUUUCAGAUUGACGGGGUACGGAGUUCAGACGUAGGAGGGCCUACGAUGGAGUAAGAAUGACAGGGGUUCAGACUAAAGGAGUUCACACUACCAUUGGUUCAGACUGACUUGGUUCAAACUGUCGGCAUCCCGCCAAAUGGGGCUUUAGAUUGCUUUGAAGCAGGAUUUGAUAUAUUUAGUGAUGAUUAUGAUAUUAGUUUUAUUAUUACAUUUUAGCUAUUAACUAUUUCAUGCUAUCUUCACAUGGUUGGUGUCAUUCAUAUUCAGUCAAACAUCUACCUGCAUUACUUUGGAUAUAUUUGUAGAUUUUGGAACUCAUCAAUGAUAUAAUCAGUUUCAGAAAAUCUCGCAUUAUCCACAGUCAAUAUUGCUAGCUUAACAGUCAAUUCUUGUGAGCGGAUAUACUGAGCAUAGAGAGUUAUUCUUGUCCCGAUGCAAAUAUAUAAGAAUAUUUCGUAACCAAAAGCAGCUUUGAUAUUACGAUAUAAUAUUACAUGUUUAUCUUUCCUUUUCGUAAGUAAUCUUUUAAAAUAAUAUGAAACAUGUUCUUACUAUGUACAAUGUCUUUACUCAACAUUGCGCAAUUAUCUGUUGACCAAAAUGCCAUUUUCUAAUCAUAGUAGAUCCUAUAUGUUUUAUGUACAUUUUGUUGUAGGUUCUCCAAGACACAUGGGCUUGAAGAUGUGAAAUGGUUGUAACUUUGAAACCAGUGAUGUACAUUCGAUGUGGGCUUGACGCUGUAAAACCUUACACGGAGCGUCGCCGCGGCACUAUCUGGUACAGACGAAGCUCUGUGACAAUGGGGCGUUUCAUAGAGGUGGCGCUACUCCUGGUGGCCCUUGGAAGAGUUGACGGGUCAUCAACUGUCAUGAUACAAUCCUCGGAAUCACCAUCUGCAAGUGUAUCAACAAAUGUCCCAGCUGUAUCUAACAGCCCAGUGACUGGUGAGCAGGAAAACGAAGAAGGUGUGAGCUACCUGCUGACAAAUAUUCAUACAGUUGUAUCAGCAGGAGGGGAAAGCGGGGGAUUCUACCUGGUUGAUAUUCCACAGCUGGGAUAUAACGUCAAAACGACUGUAGCGCCAUACAGCAGGGGUGAUACUUAUAUAGAUACGUCUGUAAUGGUGACGGUCGGUGUGGAAACCAAGGCUUUCGUAAUCCACGUCUUCGGUAAGGACAUCAGUAUUUCCGGAUACAGUGGAGGCAGCAUAUUUUCUCCCCUCCCGAUCUCGGCCCUCGGUUCCAGGUAUGUAGUGUCCACCUGCCUGGGUUACACGGACCACGUGGUGUUAGUGAUUGCUAACUACAACCAGAAGACGGACGUGGACAUAACGCUGAUGCUGGAGGGGAACGUCACCUAUGACAACAUGACAUACAACGACGGACACACGAUCCACGUGAGUCUAGAUGAGUAUCAGACCUUCACGUUGAAGAGCGCCUAUGACCUGACUGGAACUGUUAUCAACACAACACGUGCUGUAGCUGUGUUCAGUGGAUCAAGGCAAGGAAGUGAUGUCACAGCCGUUGCACAACUAUUACCUGUACGGCAUCAUGGCACAGAGUUUGUCCUGUCUACACAGGAUUUAUCCUCUGAAAGGGGCCCUGCAUACCAGCUGCAAAUUGUUAGUGAACAGUUCGACGCUGAAAUUAUGUUGAACAAUGGAUCUAUAUUCUCUCUUGGUGACAGCCGUGUGUAUCGUCAAAACCUCACGUAUAACGAGACACUGUAUUUUAAUACCACAAGACCUGCCCUUGCAACCUUGUGUAGAUUUGCCGCAUCAAUAUGCUACCAUGGGUAUGUUGUUGUAACUCCAGUUGAGUAUUUUAUUAACAAUGCACAGGUUUCUGAUGCAGAAUGUAUAAACAUACUGACUAAACAACACGUAACAGAUAUUGAAGUAUUUAGGAGUGGCAUGACCCCUGUUACACUGGACUGGAUGGCCAUCCCUGGCAGUGAUUACAAACAAGGAACAACUUGUUCUUAUGACAGUUACUUUGUCCGCGCUACCAACAGAUUCGCUCUGUAUGGGUUUUACUACGAUAUUACCACAGGAGGCUACUAUUUCCCAGCUGACCCAUCAACCACACCUGCCGCUAGACGUAAGUUGUACGAUAUUCUGAUUUUGGAAAAAGAUAAAAUUUAAACAGGAGAUGUACAUACGUUGUUUUCAGUGUAAGAUUAUGGAAUCUGUAGAUUUAUCGCUUUAUUGGAAUUACAAUGUAGUUAGGCAACGACACCUUAACUGUUGCUGUGUGUCAGAAAUAUGACCCAUAUAUUUGUUUGAUAGAUAGAAGGGGGCGUGUGGCGAACAUAUGUAAUACACAUAGAUGAACAAGAGUCUCUACGAGAAACAUACAAGAAAUAUAUUUUGAGUAUGAUUUCAUGUGUCAUUCAAACUGCAUGAGCGAAGAAAUAAGUAAAUGUAUAACGGGAUCUGAGACACGAACGGCUUCACUUCAGCAUUUUUCAAUAAUGUUAUUAACUUAAGUUCGGUGGACAAUUAGAAUAAUUCAUGCUUAAACUGUGGUCAUUAUGUGUAUCUUGAAUAUUUACAAUAUUUGUUCACAUUUUGAAUAUUCUUUUAAUAACCAAAUUACCGUCACUGUGUGUUUCCUGGAUACUUACGAUUUAUUUUUGGAGAUUAAAUAUUCAUAUUUUAAUAACAUUCAGGUCACCAUGAGUGAAAUGUUUGUGUGUGGAGUAAUGAAAGAGGAUGCGUGCAUUAUUUUCAAUUCUGUCACUUUCUGCUUUACACACUUACUCCAACGUCUGUCACCCUUUGUCGCUUACCUCUAACCAAGGAAAUAAGCUUUCGUCAGUGCUACACCGGCUUAUCUACGAAAGCCUAAUGCUGCUACAUUUCUAGCAUAAAAUAUUUUCAGCGACAUCUCGUUGCUUUGAUUAUUUGGUGCAUGGGAGUAUUUUCUCGCUUUUCAAUUAUUUUCGCGUUACAUCAAGUAUUUUCUCCUUGCAUCUAGUAUUUUCUCGUUGUUUCGAGUUUUUUUCUCAUUGCAACGAGAAAAUACUAGAAGCAAUGAAAAAAUAGUUGAGAAAAUAAUCUAAGCAACGAGAAAAACAAGUCAAUACUCGAAAUUUCAAGGGUUUUUUGCAGAAACUUGAAGCAACGAGAAAAUAUUCGGAACAACGAAAACUUUCGCUAAAAAAAUAGCGUAUGCUACAAAAUUGGCAGCAUUAGGCUGUCGUACUUAUCUACACUAUAUGUAGUCAAUACUUCACGGGAUUGUGUACGCAAUACACCUUCAAUAUUUCACGAUUUUGUUCAUUUUCAGCACUUUACAGGAUUUUAAAACCAAUGUAUAACAAGCAAGUGCGGCCUGCAUACUGGAGAUAGAAAUGUUUAACACCACAUAUAGAAUUACCCUAUCAGUAAACGUAUUCAGUGUGGCCAGCGGAAGCUUAACCACAAGGUUGCCAUAGUAACUAAUAUGUUUGUAAGAAAUAUUAGGUGUUAUACAACCGAGAACAUUGCAUCCAUUUAUGUAAUAGUCAUCCUGUCAUGCCUCAGGAUUUUAGACACUUCUAGCUUUAUGUUACUACCAUAGCUGUGGAUCUCUCUGCUUCAAUCAUUAUUUAUACUCUCACUUAUAUUAUCAUUCAGUAAUGUUGAACAUGUUAUCUAACAAAUAUUUGAAUUGCAUAUCAUGUUUCAAAGCUUUGUGUUACCUUACCUUGCAAUGUCAGUAUAUGGAUAGUAUAAUUAUGAAGUUUUUUAAGCUGAACAUUUUUAACACUUUGAUCAGUAAUAAUAAUGUAUCAGAUUGUUGUACAUGAAUUGAACUGUAUUUUCUUCUCUCCACAAUCUACUUGCCACAUGUAAUGCCCAGGUGUUGCUAAAAAGGUAAUAUGGUAAUACAGAAGCAGAUCUCAUCUGGACCUUCUACACUAACUGAAGCCUGAUUCGUGUAUUCAAUACUGUAUCAAGGAAUUGGCAUGCAUUAAGGGGUUUCAGACUGAUGUGACCCGGAUUGACAAGGUUCCGACUGACGGUGUCCGGAUUGACAAGGGUUCCGUCUGACGGUGUCCGGAUUGACAUGAGCGGUUCAGAUUGACGGUGUCUGGAUUGACAGGGGUUCAGAUUGACGUGAUCCGGAUACACAGGCGUCCAUAUUUUCUAUUAUUUUUUCUUAAACAACUGUUGUAUUUUGACUUCAUUAAGAUUGAGCCAUUAUUUUUCAGUAAUAUAUUUAAUUCUACCAUGACUUCACUUCAUACGGGAUUGUGAUUGGUUAAUUCAAAUAACUCUGGGGUAUAUAAUCACGUUAAAUACCUCUGGUUUUCCAACACAGUGUCGAUUUUUUAAAAAUCUUAAUAACGCGGUUAUGGUAGAAUGGAAAUAAACAUACUGUAUUGGAAAAUCAGAGGUAUAUGACGAAAUUAUAACAGCUCUAUAUUUUCUAUUUAAAACCUCAUGCUACGCGUUCGUAGCUCUGAAUUUGAUUUAAAACCGAACGCGUAGCAUGAGGUUUUAAAUAGAAAAUUUAGAGCUGUUAUAAUUUCGUUAUUCACCUUAUAUAACUGCUGGACAAUAACAACAUGCAGCAAAAGGAACUGAUACUCAUCCUCGAAACCAUUACUUAUCUCAUAUAGUUCACUAAAACUGCAAUAUUUAUCAUUCCUAUUCAUAUUAGCAUAACGGCCAUUUUGUAUUUUUAACUUGUGCAUAUAUUCUGAGCAUAGUGUGAUAAGUCCAAAUGUGACAUGCCUAAGUAUAUUUGGUAACCAAAAAUAGCUUUGAUAUUACCUUAAAGAGAAAGUUUUGAUGAGUCAGACACGUGGACGAUUCCAUUCUUAUAUGUAAUUAUUUUAAAUCAUAUUUAACCUUUCCCUUAUGUUGAAUGUCUUUCUUUAAAGAUUGCCUGACUAUCUGUUGACCUCUAUUUGUAGUAGUGGUGGUCCGAUUAAUUUAAAUAAUUGAAGAUUGGUCGCUGUGACUGAACGACCAAGCAAUCCAUCAUGUGUUCUCAUAAUCGAGCACAAACAAUUUUGAAACUCUUGUUUGCAUUAACAAUAUUUUUCACAAGGUUGGUCUUAUCUGUUACAUUUCAGAAGCACUACAAGCUCGUUCCUUGUUAUGAUUGAAUUUAUCUUAAAGACUCCAGGAAAAUGUUCCUAACAUACUAGUCAUCCUUUAAAGAUGUGCAAUUUGAAAACACCCCGCAAGAACUACCUGUUUCUUAUUUAUUGUUUUGAUGCAUUAAUAAACAUAACCAGGAAUAUUUGACAAAUGGCGCUAACCAAUUAUUUUCAAUGUUUGAUUGGUUGCAAUGAACCAAUCAUCCAUUAUGAGACUUUAACCAAUUCCCAACACUAAUUUGUAGUUAAUUGCCACAUGUUUAUAUCGUACAUUUUGUUUAUGUUGUAGGUCUCCAUGACAAGUCGCGCUUGAAAAGUCAAAACUUCGAAACCUGUGAUACACAUUCCACGUGGACUUAUGAGAACGUGAUUGUUUAUCCAUUGAUUGUUUACUUUAAGAGUAUAAGAUUAAAACAUUUCUGUGUGA